rnacentral:rRNA from 1 species
CCUACGGGUGGCAGCAGUGGGGAAUAUUGGGCAAUGGAGGCAACUCUGACCCAGCAAAGUAGCGUGAAUGAUGAAGGUCUUCGGAUUGUAAAGUUUUGUGUUGGGGGAUGAAAACAAUGACGGUAUCCCAAUAGCAAGCCACGGCUAACUACGUGCAAGCAGCCGCGGUAAUACGUAGGUGGCGAGAGUUAUCCGGAAUGACUGGGCGUAAAGGGUGCGUAGGUGGGUUAGUAAGUUGGCGGUGUAAUUCCGGGGCUCAACCUCGGCGCUACCGCCAAAACUAUUAGACUAGAGUGCAGUAGGGGUAAGUGGAAUUCCUGGUGUAGCGGUGGAAUGCUUAGAUAUCACGAGGAACAUCAAGGGCGAAGGCAACUUACUGGACUGUAACUGACACUGAGGCACGAAAGCGUGGGGAGCAAACAGGAUUAGAUACCCCUGUAGUC